AGUUAGUGGCGGACGGGUGAGUAACGCGUGGAAAACCUGCCGUAUACUGGGGGAUAACACUUAGAAAUAGGUGCUAAUACCGCAUAAGCGCACAGCUUCGCAUGAAGCGGUGUGAAAAACUCUGGUGGUAUACGAUGGUUCCGCGUCCGAUUAGCUAGUUGGUGGGGUAAUGGCCUACCAAGGCAACGAUCAGUAGCCGGCCUGAGAGGGUGAACGGCCACAUUGGGACUGAGACACGGCCCAAACUCCUACGGAAGGCAGCAG
rnacentral:rRNA from 1 species